GAUGGACGCUAGCUACAGGCUUAACACAUGCAAGUCGAGGGGCAGCAUGUCGGUUGCUUGCAACCGAUGAUGGCGACCGGCGCACGGGUGAGUAACGCGUAUCCAACCUUCCCCGUAGUAGGGCACAGCCCGGCGAAAGUCGGAUUAAUUCCCUAUGUUCUUGACAGCAGACAUCUAACGUCAAGCAAAGAUUGAUCGCUAUGGGAUGGGGAUGCGUCUGAUUAGGUUGUCGGCGGGGUAACGGCCCACCGAGCCCGCGAUCAGUAGGGGUUCUGAGAGGAAGGUCCCCCACAUUGGAACUGAGACACGGUCCAAACUCC
rnacentral:rRNA from 1 species